ensembl:lncRNA
ACUUAGUAAUAGGGGUUGUGACAUCAAUGUUCUUACUCUAUUUAAAAGAACCAACCGACUGGGUAUAACUCAUUGUCUUUGCAUCGUCACACCUGAUCAACUGCUGAAAUUGACUGACUCGAAGAACUGACCACCAAGAUGAUGAUGAAGACUGUAAUCUUUCUGGGCUGCCUCCUGGGCCUGUCAUUGGCUCUUCCUGCUGAUGUGGAUCAUUUGAGAGUUGCACGUUCCAGCUCUGACUCCAACUCUAACUCAAACUCCAGGGAGGCUGGUUCCUUUCUGCCCUCCCUGCCACAGUUGAAUUCAAAUCAGCUACUUCAACUUCUACUUAAACUGUUUGCUGCCUCUGUCCCAGCACCAGCCCCUGCCCCAGCCCCUGCCCCAGCCCCUGCCCCCUGCCCCAGCCCCUGCCCCCCCAGCCCCAGCCCCAGCCCCUGCCCCUGCCCCAGCCCCUGCACCAGCCCCUGCCCCUGCACCAGCCCCUGCCCCAGGUGGACGUUAAACAGGUGAAAAGUACUACUUAAACAGUUUUUGGGGGUAUCUGUACUUUACUUUACUAUAUAUAUAUUUCUGACAACUUUUACUUUUGCUUCACAAAAUUCCUGAAGAAAAUAAUGUACAUUUUACCCCAUACAUUGUCCUUGACAUCCAAAAAUUACCUUUUGAAUGCUUAGCAGGACAGGAAAAUGGAUAAAUUCAUACGCUUAUCAAGAGAACAUCCCUGGUCAUCCCUACUGUCUCUGAUCUGGUGGACUCACAAAACACAAAUGCUUAGUUUAUAAAGAUGUCUGAGUGUUGGAGUGUACCCCUGGCUAUCCGUAAAUAAAGUAAACAAGAAAAUGGUGGCGGUCUGGUUUGUUUAAUAUAAGGUUUUUGUAAUGAUUUAUACUUUUACUGUUGAGUAUAUCUGAGCAAUUACAUAAAACUUUUGAUACUUAAGUAUAUUUAAAACCAAAUACUUUUAGACUUUUACUCAAGUUGUAUUUAACUGGGUAACUUUAUUUUCUAUUAAGGUAUUUUUACUUUCACUCAAGUAUGACAAUUGGGUACCUUUCCCAACACUGGAUUCCCCAAACAUUAUAAGUACAAUGUAUAUCCUUUAAAUUCAUUAAUUCACUUUUCAGUCGAUCAGGUAUUUCAUGGAACUCCCAGACAUUGACUAUGAAGUGUGAUUCCUUUAUGCAUUUCUGUUUAAUAAACACAUUAAUAUUUCAAGCUCAAUUGUAUGUCUGUCCAGUCCUCUGAUGAAUGCUCAUUAAGUUUAUGGAAAUUGUGAGAAAUCUAUGCAAAGUGUGUUACAUUACAUUGCGUUAUUUAAUUAAAAAAAAAAAUGUUGUCCAUUAUAUUGCAUGACAGGAGAAAUCAAAAUAAAGUCUGGUACUUGAGCUAUAUUGUAUAAAUUGAGAAAUUAAAGUUAAACAUUACAAUUAAAUGUGUUCAUUUAGCCUCCGCAAUGCCCCAAAACAGGUAGACAAAUAAUCG